AAGCUCGUAGUUGAAUUUCGAAUGUGGCUGGGCGGUCCACCUCACGGUGUGUACUGUCUGGCUGUGUUCUCUUUCUUGGUGAGCCGGCAUGCCCUUUACUGGGUGUGUUGGGGAACCAGGACGUUUACCUUGAGAAAAUUAGAGUGUUCAAAGCAGGCCUACGCCCGAAUACAUUAGCAUGGCAUAAUAAAAUAGGACGUGCGGUUCUAUUUUGUUGGUUUCUAGAGCCGCAGUAAUGAUUAAUAGGGAUAGUGGG
rnacentral:rRNA from 1 species